rnacentral:rRNA from 1 species
GCCGGCGAGCGGCGGACGGGUGAGUAAUGUCUGGGAAACUGCCUGAUGGAGGGGGAUAACUACUGGAAACGGUAGCUAAUACCGCAUGACCUCGAAAGAGCAAAGUGGGGGAUCUUCGGACCUCACGCCAUCGGAUGUGCCCAGAUGGGAUUAGCUAGUAGGUGAGGUAAUGGCUCACCUAGGCGACGAUCCCUAGCUGGUCUGAGAGGAUGACCAGCCACACUGGAACUGAGACACGGUCCAGACUCCUACGGGAGGCGGCACUGGGGAAUAUUGCACAAUGGGGCGCAAGCCUGAUGCAGCCAUGC